rnacentral:rRNA from 1 species
AUUGAACGCUGGCGGCAGGCCUAACACAUGCAAGUCGAACGAGUGGCGGACGGGUGAGUAAUGUCUGGGAAACUGCCUGAUGGAGGGGGAUAACUACUGGAAACGGUAGCUAAUACCGCAUACCAUCAGAUGUGCCCAGAUGGGAUUAGCUGUUUGGUGGGGUAAAGGCUCACCCAGGCGACGAUCCCUAGCUGGUCUGAGAGGAUGACCGGCCACCCGGGAACUGAGACACGGGCCAGACUCCUACGGGAGGCAGCAGUGGGGAACAUUGCACAAUGGGGGCAAGCCUGAUGCAGCCAUGCCGCGUGUUUGAAGAAGGCCUUCGGGUUGUAAAGUACUUUCAGCGAGGAGGCGUUACUCGCAGAAGAAGCACCGGCUAACUCCGUGCCAGCAGCCGCGGUAAUAC